UCUUUAAGACAUCCCUGCUCUUACUCCACAUUUAAGGGGUUCAUUGUGCCAUCCCAGGGGGAUGCUGCACUCUGGGGAGCCAACCUUGAUUUUUUUGCUUUGAAAUGAAGGCUUUUCAGAGAAGAUCUGCACAUUUUGCUGUACUUUGAUGCUGAGGAAAGCACUUCUCUCUAUUUCCUAUCCUGUAUUUCAUUUUGUGGAGCAAAGCCUGGAGCUGGUGCUCAGCUGAAUCCAGGGGAUUUCUGGCCACGCUUGGUAGAAAAUGUGUGUUCACCUAGGAGAAAAUAAAAAUGUUAUUUUGCUCUUUAUAUUGCUCAGUCUUACCUAGUCCAGGUUAAGCUGUGGUAUGAGAUGCUGCUGUCAAAUACCUCCAGAAACAACUGUGUGACAUCAACUUGUGUGACCAGGGAAAUGAAUGACACAAUCUCCCCUGAAGGCUGAUACACAGAGAAGAGCAGAAACACAGCAAGGUGUCACAUCUCCAGUUGCAUCCUGAAUUAAAAUCCUGACAGGACAUUGCUGCUGGCUGGGGAUUGCAGGUUUCCCAGACUUUUAAUCAUUCCUACAAUGCCAUUCUCAGUGG